GACCUCUACUUGGAUAUAAGAUGAAGAAGUCCAUAAGGGAUAUUUGGAUCCGUGUGUUUUGGCCUUUAUAGAAGGUCAAAAAUAAAUUUAUAAUUUCUUUCAUCAAAGUAUAUAACCAGGACGGAAUUAGACUCUACAUACAACAAAUAUAUAUUAAAAAAUUAUUUGUUAAAGUAUUUUUUAAUAAUCACCGACUUUGAAGGUAGUGAGUGCCAUGAUUCUUCAAAGGACUUUUUUUCUACUACUCUUUUAUGUUAGUCUCAAACUACUAAAACAUGUUGAAGGUAAGAGUUGAAUGAACGGAGUCAUUUAAUUCCAUUAAUGUGGUUUUUAAAUACCUUUAUAAACAUAUAUAUUUAUGUAAUUUGGCGGUACAAAAAGGAAUAUGUUCAAAGUAGAGAGAAGGAAAUUUUUAUUACUUUUAUUAGUUAUUUCAAUAGAAUACCUAAGUCAUAA
rnacentral:lncRNA from 1 species